CGAAUUAAAGUGUAUUUCGUCGGCUAAAACCAUCUUAGCCGACGAAAUAUAGUAUAUUUUGUCGGCUAAAACCAUCUUAGCCGACGAAUUAUAGUGUAUUUUGUCGGCUAAUAAAGUUUUAGCCGACGAAUAACCUAAUAUUUCGUCGGUUUUAGUUGUUUUUUAAUUUUUUAAUUACAUACUAUAGCCGACGAAUACGUUAGGGUAUUCGUCGACUAAACUCUAAAAUUUUUCUAUUACCUACUAUAGCCCUAUCUUCGGUUGUUAUUUUCCGUAAAAUUUUUAAACGACUUCUUGCGUCUCAUCGGUUUGAAACUAUUUUCAGUUUGAGGUCCGGCCAAAAUACGUAAUUUAGACGGUCGAACGACCUUUUCCGUGCGUUUAGGGGUUUGACUUACGAGAUUGACCGUCCGGAUCGAGCCCCUAUUCUUGUCGGAUCAAGUUGAAUUUUUUCCCAUACAUGUAUUUUGUCAUGAUGGUCAGAUCUGACGGUCAGAUUUAUUUUUCUCAAGUUUGAUCUUCACAAUCACAACAUGCAUACUAAUGUUGUAUAACUUGUUUACCAAGUGUUAUGUAAAUAUUCCGUUUCAAAAACAAACUAUACGUAAAACCUUCAAACGCCAAAAAGUCAUGAAAUAAGAUAUGACGAGAAUGUUGAAAUACAUCCACGGUUGAAAAAUCACACUAUUCCGGUAAAUAUUCGGUGCCGAUAGUUGCGGUCAAUGCAAUUUGUCAUUCUUUCCCCCUAUGAGUAGCCCUAUAUUCGGUGGUUAUUUUGCGUAAAAUUUUUAUACAACUUGUUGCGUGUCAUCGAUUUAAAACUAUUUUCAGUUGGAGGUCUGGCCAAAAUACGUAAUUUAGACGGUCGAACAACCUUUUCCGUGCGUUUAGGGGUUUGACUUACGAGAUUGACCGUCCGGAUCGAGCCCUUAUUCUUGUCGGAUCAAGUUGAAUUUUUUCCCAUACAUGUAUUUUAUCAUGAUGGUCAGAUCUGACGGUCGGAUUUAUUUUUCUCAAGUUUGAUCAUCACAAUCACAAUGUGCCAAAUGUAUAAAAAUACUUUUAGCCGACGAAUUUCAAAGGUUAGCCGACGAAUUUCAAAGAUUUUGCCGAUGAAUUUAUAAAGUUUAGCCGAUGAAUUUCAAAGUUUUAGCCGACGAAUUUAGAAGGUUUAGCCGACGAAUUGAUGUAUAGCCGACGAAAUUCGUAGCUUUAGCCGACGAAAUAAUUAUUUCGUCGGCUAAAGUUUUCGGGUUUAACUGCGAAACCCUAGCCUCCUCCUUCCCUCCCUCUCCCGGUCCCGGUCUCCUCCCUCCUCCCGCUCCCACUCCCGGUCUCCUCCCUCCUCCCUCCUCCCUCCCUCUCCCGUCUCCGCCUCCUCC
rnacentral:lncRNA from 1 species